rnacentral:rRNA from 1 species
UACGGGGGGGGCAAGCGUUGUUCGGAAUUACUGGGCGUAAAGGGCUCGUAGGCGGCCAACUAAGUCAGACGUGAAAUCCCUCGGCUUAACCGGGGAACUGCGUCUGAUACUGGAUGGCUUGAGUUUGGGAGAGGGAUGCGGAAUUCCAGGUGUAGCGGUGAAAUGCGUAGAUAUCGAGAGGAACACCGGUGGCGAAGGCGGGUCUCUGGGCCGAUACUGACGCUGAGGAGCGAAAGCGUGGGGAGCGAACAGG